rnacentral:rRNA from 1 species
CCUACGGGUGGCUGCAGUGGGGAAUAUUGCACAAUGGGGGAAGCCCUGAUGCAGCAACGCCGCGUGAAGGAUGAAGGUUUUCGGAUUGUAAACUUCUUUAGUCAGGGACGAAUAAAUGACGGUACCUGAAGAAUAAGCCACGGCUAACUACGUGCCAGCAGCCGCGGUAAUACGUAGGUGGCGAGCGUUGUCCGGAAUUACUGGGUGUAAAGGGCGUGUAGGCGGGAAUGUAAGUCAGAUGUGAAAUCCCAGGGCUUAACCCUGGAGCUGCAUCUGAAACUAUGUUUCUUGAGUGCCGGAGAGGAUAGCGGAAUUCCUAGUGUAGCGGUGAAAUGCGUAGAUAUUAGGAGGAACACCAGUGGCGAAGGCGGCUAUCUGGACGGUAACUGACGCUGAGGCGCGAAAGCGUGGGGAGCAAACAGGAUUAGAUACCCUGGUAG